ACUAAACAGCUAGCUUAAACAGUAUAAUUGACUAAACAACAUUAACAAAUUUUAUAUAAAUUUAUACACUAAACUAAAUCAUUUUCCCGCCCUAGUAUGUGAGACAGAAAAGGCACCUAAUAAGCAAUAAAAAAGUACCGCAAGGGAAAGCUGAAAGAGAAAUGAAAUAAAUCAUUUAAGUUCAAUAAAGCAGAGAUUAUACCUCGUACCUUUUGCAUCAUGAUUUAGCCAGUUUACAUGAGCAAAGAGUCCUUUAGUUCAAAACCCCGAAACUAAGUGAGCUACCCCGGGACAGUCUAUUUAUAGGACCAACCCGUCUCUGUGGCAAAAGAGUGGGAAGAUCCCCGGGUAGAGGUGACAGACCUACCGAACUUAGUUAUAGCUGGUUGCCUGAAAAAUGGAUAGAAGUUCAGCCUCAUACUCCUCAAAUCACAAUAAACUUAUUCAAUUAGGAAACUGAGAAAAAUAUGAGAGUUAGUCAAGAGAGGUACAGCUCUCUUGAAAAAAGAUACAACUUUACCAGGAGGUUAAAGAUCAAAUUCAACAAGACUACCACUUAAGUGGGCCUAAAAGCAGCCAUCUAAGCAGAAAGCGUUAAAGCUCGAGUGGAAUUAAAUCUAUUAUACAGAUAAAAUAUCUUAAACCCCUAUUCAUAUCAGGCCACUCCAUGCCAACAUGGAAGCGAUACUGCUAAAAUGAGUAAUAAGAAGGAACCACCUUCUCCUUAGCCCAAGUGUAUGUUAGAUCGGACUAACCACUAAUAAUUAACGAACCCAAACAAAGAGGGUACUGUGACAAAAAAAACAAUCAAGAAAAAACCACAAACCUACUUGAUCGUUAACCCCACACUGGAGGGCACAUUAAAGGAAAGACUAAAAGAAGAGGAAGGAACUCGGCAAACACAAGCCUCGCCUGUUUACCAAAAACAUCACCUCCUGCAAAUCACUAUGUAUAGGAGGCCUUACCUGCCCAGUGACUACAAGUUAAACGGCCGCGGUAUUUUGACCGUGCAAAGGUAGCGUAAUCACUUGUCUUUUAAAUGAAGACCUGUAUGAAUGGUUAAACGAGGGCUUAACUGUCUCCCCCUUCAGGUCAAUGAAAUUGAUCUCUCCGUGCAGAAGCGGACAUAUAAAUACAAGACGAGAAGACCCUUUGGAGCUUAAGAUACAAGAUCACCUAUGUCAAGAGACAAAAAACUAAACCAAAUAGAAUAUUGAUCCUUAUCUUCGGUUGGGGCGACCACGGGAGACAAUAAAGCUCCCACGAGGACUGGGGAAAAAUACCCUAAAACUAAGAGAGACAUCUCUAAGUCACAGAACAUCUGACCAAAAGAUCCGGCCACAAUGCCGAUCAACGGACCAAGUUACCCUAGGGAUAACAGCGCAAUCCUCUUUAAGAGUUCAUAUCGACAAGGGGGUUUACGACCUCGAUGUUGGAUCAGGACAUCCUAAUGGUGCAGCCGCUAUUAAGGGUUCGUUUGUUCAACGAUUAAAGUCCUACGUGAUCUGAGUUCAGACCGGAGCAAUCCAGGUCAGUUUCUAUCUGUAGUGCUAUUUUUCCUAGUACGAAAGGACCGGAAAAAUGGGGCCCCUAUUUAAAAUACGCCCCCACCUAACCUAAUGAAAUCAACUAAAUUAGAUAAAAGGAAAGCACCACAAAAAACUCAAGAUAAGAUUACUAAGG
rnacentral:rRNA from 1 species